AGGCGUGUCUGUGUUUGAUUGACAGCAGCUGGCAGGUUGAGCUACAGCAGGUGAAGGAAAUGAGAGAAGCAGUGGUAUGAAAGAGUGAGGACCUCACCAGCUUCUAAACGUCUCCAGUGUAUCGGUCACAGACGAGGUUGGUCGGACAGGAGCAGGUCUGAGUGCAGAACGGACCAAAACGACCUGGACUACAGGCUGGAAAACACAAGCUGGCUGACGACAACACUCACUGUUCUGACAGGUGACUCCCCAGUAGCCUGGGCGACACACACACGCUCCAGUUUCCCUCACACACGUGUCACUGUUUGGGCAAUGCUUGAAACAGGUCUGGUUACAGUGGCGCCCC